rnacentral:rRNA from 1 species
UUAAGCUAUAAAGAGCACAGGGUGGAUGCCUAGGCACUGAGAGCCGAUGAAGGACGUGAUAAGCUGCGAAAAGCCACGGGGAGGAGCAAAUAUCCUUUGAGCCGUGGAUAUCCGAAUGGGGGAACCCACUUAAGUAAACCUUAAGUACUGACAAGCCAAUACAUAACUUGCCAGAGGGAACCCGGGGAACUGAAACAUCUAAGUACCCGGAGGAAGAGAAAGAAACAUCGAUUUCCUUAGUAGCGGCGAGCGAAAGGGAAAGAGCCCAAACCGAGAGAUUUAUCUUUCGGGGUUAGGACUGCAUAAUUGAUCUGCGAUUGAUAGGAGAAUGGUCUGGGAAGUCCAGCAGGAAAGCGUGAAAGCCGCGUAUCCGAAAUUGAAAGCAGCAAGGCAGUAUCCAGAGUACCACGAGACACGAGGAACCUUGUGGGAAUGAGCGGAGACCACUCCGUAAGGCUAAAUACUACUCAGUGACCGAUAGCGCAUAGUACUGUGAAGGAAAGGUGAAAAGGACCCCGGGAGGGGAGUGAAAGAGAACCUGAAACCCUGUGUUUACAAGCUGUCGAAGCACGUUAGUGCGACGGCGUACUUUUUGUAGAACGGUCCGGCGAGUUAUGAUACGCGGUAAGGUUAAGGACUUAAGGUCCGGAGCCGAAGCGAAAGCGAGUGUUAAGAGCACGAGGAAUCACGUAUCAUAGACCCGAAACCGGGUGAUCUAUCCAUGUCCAGGAUGAAGCUGCCGUAAGAGGUAGUGGAGGUCCGAACACACAUCCGUUGAAAAGGGUGGUGAUGAGGUGUGGAUAGGGGAGAAAUUCCAAUCGAACCCGGAGAUAGCUGGUUCUCCUCGAAAUAGCUUUAGGGCUAGCCUUCAGUUAGUCUGCCGCAGGUAGAGCACUGAAUUUCCUAGGGGGCGUCAAAGCCUACCGAAGAAUAUCAAACUGCGAAUGGCGGACAGAUGAUGCUGGGGAGUCAGACUGCACGAGAUAAGUUGGGUGGUCAAAAGGGAAAGAGCCCAGACCUACAGCUAAGGUCCCAAAGUGCGUGUUAAGUGGAAAAGGAUGUGGGAUUUCGAAGACAACUAGGAUGUUGGCUCAGAAGCAGCCACACAUUAAAAGAGUGCGUAAUAGCUCACUAGUCGAGAGGUCCUGCGCCGAAAAUGUCCGGGGCUGAAACACGACACCGAAGCUUAGGAACAGAAAUGUUGGUAGAGGAGCAUUGUUAGCGGAACGAAGCCAUACCGGAAGGAGUGGUGGACUGCUAAGAAGAGAGAAUGCCGGAAUGAGUAGCGAGAUUGAAGUGAGAAUCUUCAAGGCCGAAUAUCUAAGGUUUCCAGGGUAAAGCUGAUCUGCCCUGGGUAAGUCGGGGCCUAAGGCGAGGUCGAAAGACGUAGCCGAUGGACAACAGGUUGAAAUUCCUGUACUGCGAUAUAUCAGAAAUGUGGGGACACAGAAGGAAAGUGUGAGCCGGGAAAGGAAAGACCGGUGCAAGCACAGGAGGAGAGAUACAGGCAAAUCCGUAUUUCAAUCCAAUGGUGUUACGCGGAGCGAACAAAAGUAGCGAAGCACACAGACCAUCUGUCGAGAAAAGCCGCUAUUGUGUAUACCGUACCCGUACCGUAAACCGACACAGGUGGAUGAGGAGAGAAUCCUAAGGCCGGCGGGAGAAGCAUUGUUAAGGAACUCGGCAAAAUGACCCCGUAACUUCGGGAGAAGGGGUGCUCACGCAAGUGAGCCGCAGAGAACUGGCCCAAGCAACUGUUUAGCAAAAACACAGGUCUAUGCAAAACCGAAAGGUGAGGUAUAUGGGCUGACGCCUGCCCGGUGCUGGAAGGUUAAGAGGAGAUGUUAGAGCAAUCGAAGCAUUGAAUUUAAGCCCCAGUAAACGGCGGCCGUAACUAUAACGGUCCUAAGGUAGCGAAAUUCCUUGUCGGGUAAGUUC